CGCGCUCUCGGGACCUCGGGCGCUGGCCUGUGGUCCGGGGCGGCGGCGCGGCGUCCUUGCCGCUCUUCUGGACAUUCUGACCUGGCUAGGAGUUGUACGCCCCCAGGACCUGGGAGUCAACCUUGGACCUGGGAAUCAACCUUGGAACCAUUCUCAUUGAAGAACUGCCUAUUAUGGAAAAAUUAACUUGUUGCCCAAACAAUGGAGUCCCACCCCAGCCUGCAUAGCCUACUUCCCCAUGCCUGUAAUCCCUACUUUCCCCAUGUAAUCUUUGUCUUACCCCAUAUAAGCAAUUGGUUUAUGGGGGGCUGCAGAGCAGAUUUUUGUGGAUGACCUGCUGCUCUCCCAUACUGCCGGCAGUAUUGGAAGAAACGCGCAUAUAUGAUUCAACCCUGUCUCUGCUUAAUUGGCUCAAGUAGUGACAGGCAACACGGACCCAUUGAUUGUCCCGUUAUAUUAUGAGCAUCAACUAAUUGAAUCUUGACGUUGUUUCCUGUUUUACAAAGAAGGAAACAGACUUAGAGCCAUGAAGCCAGUCACAAGGGCCCCAGAUCUGUCCCCAAAGCCUGUGCUUCUGGUUCCAGGGAUACACUGCUGCUGUCACACCAGCUACAGUUAUUGUUAAGUCCAGGUAUACCUGUGAGAUACUGUGGGUUUGGCUCUAGACCACCACAAUAAAGCAAAUAUCGAAAUAAAGCAAGUAGCAUGAAUUUUUUGGUUUCCCAGUACCUAUAAAAGUUAUAUUAAAAUUAUACUGUAGUCAUAAGUGUACAAUAAUAGCAUUGUGUCUAAGAAAUGUACAUACAUAAUUAAAACAAUAUUACUAAAAA